rnacentral:lncRNA from 1 species
AAGAUUCAAAACGCACGGCAGCAAGUGCCGUAUUAGGGGGUAAUCUAUUUCACUGUAGGCAGACCCACUGUUAGACUAACUGUUUAAAUUAAAUAAAAAAUAAUUAAGGAGAGUGGACCAAUCCGAAUAGGAAACGUGGCAGGCAGUGAACCAUUUGUUCGGAAGACCGAUGGAGCACAACAGAUAAAUCGGGAUGGCCGACAAGUCGACAACCUGAUUUUCUGGACAUCAACUCUCCCACCUUCUCCACCGUCCACGUGUCCCACCUCCCACGGUCCUGAUCCAUCCCCCUCUUACUCACCUCAUCCCGUCCAUAGUACGGUGAUUCUUCCCCAACGUGUCUCGUCAAAUCCCCCCAAACGGUCAAGCAUUUCUUUUCACUAAAAGUCCAUUUUUACCCUUUGUUUGUUA